rnacentral:lncRNA from 1 species
UACUUACUGCCCAAGAGGUAUUUUCUGCCCAAGAUGUGUCUGAAAAGGAAAGAAUCGCGCUUUUCGGCUUCAGAAGGAAGGCUGCGCGAAAAUGCACUGCGGAAGGAAGUUGGUGCGCGCGGUUUGGUCUCAGAAAGGGAAGGAGGCGCAGAUUGUGCUUCCUAAAUAAGUUUAGAUGCUGACCUUGCUUCCUAAUUAGUGUAGAGGCUGCCCAAGAUGCUGCCCAUGUGCAACUUGCUGCCCAAGUUGUUG